UACGUAGGGGGCAAGCGUUGUCCGGAAUUAUUGGGCGUAAAGAGCGUGUAGGCGGUCCGGUAAGUCAGCUGUGAAAGUCAAGGGCUCAACCCUUGAAAGCCGGUUGAUACUGUCGGGCUAGAGUUCGGCAGGGGAGACUGGAAUUCCUGGUGUAGCGGUGAAAUGCGCAGAUAUCAGGAGGAACACCGGUGGCGAAGGCGGGUCUCUGGGCCGAUACUGACGCUGAGGAGCGAAAGCGUGGGGAGCGAACAGG
rnacentral:rRNA from 1 species